rnacentral:rRNA from 1 species
GAUCAUGGCUCAGGAUGAACGCUGGCGGCGUGCUUAACACAUGCAAGUCGAGCGAAGCGGUUUCGAUGAAGUUUUCGGAUGGAAUUGAAAUUGACUUAGCGGCGGACGGGUGAGUAACGCGUGGGUAACCUGCCUUACACUGGGGGAUAACAGUUAGAAAUGACUGCUAAUACCGCAUAAGCGCACAGGGCCGCAUGGUCUGGUGUGAAAAACUCCGGCGGUGUAAGAUGGACCCGCGU